UAACAUCUACUAUUUGUUAUAGAUAAAAAAGUGUCGUAUAGCAUCUUAACACAACAUAACCAAUGUUUCGCUUUGAUUGCUGCUCUUCUCAUAAUCUCUAAUCGCAAUUUUCUUUAGAUCGGCAACAAGUUUUCAUAUAAUCGGUAAGUUUGUUAUUUAAUCUACCAAAUCUAGCGCUGCUGCAAUUUUCCUCAAUUUCUCAUGAACCCUAAUUUGCAAGUUAGUGCAGAUCGCCAGCUUAGGGGGCAUGUAUACAACAUAAGUCCUCGAAGAGAGAGGCCUAGCCCUGACCCUGUGCGAGGCUCCAACCCGAGAGAUGUGCUUACUCCCGAGUAUGAUCAUGGUCGGAUCCCUAGCCCUCGAACAUAGAGGGUUAGUCCUGAUGAUUACCGUCGUGAAGCUAACCCAGAUUUAAAGCCUGAACAUCAGGACAGUCCCGGAUACAGUGGAGGAGAAAGCCCUAUACCUGACAGAUACCGGAGGUAUGUGUUGGCCUGAAGGUUUUUAAUGUUAGUUUAUAUAGUUUAUCUGAAUUUUUGUUUUAAUCUGUUAUCAAAUGUUGAUUUGAGUUUUGUGGAUAUGCAAUUUUAUAAUGUACAUUUUUUAAGUUUGUUACGAGUGUAAAGUGUUUGAAAAAAUACCCGACUGUGCAUUGGUUCAUUUAUCUAAUGCUAUACUGUCUAAAUUGAUCCUCUUGCACUGGGAAAUCAACUAAUUUAAUCGCGUUUGAGGUAAUUUUCUUGUCCAUAGCUUUUGUAAUAUAAAAUUUAGUAGUGUGGUAUGUUACAAUUGUGCAAUAAUUUGGAGGUUAUUUUGACUGUGAUAGGAUGAAUUAGAAAUAUGGUGAGCAUGCUAGAAGGCAGGACUGCUGUUCAGGAUUUGCUAUAUCGAACAAUAUCUUUUCUCAUUGGACAAUUCAGUUUGCUUUGAAAAAAUGACUUGCCUUGUUGCUUUGGCAAGACGAGUGUGCCUUGCAAUCACAUUUUCAAGCCCUUCCUCA
rnacentral:lncRNA from 1 species